AUGAUACACCCUCCGUCCCAAAAUUCUUGUCUUAGAUUUGUCUAGAUACAGAUGUAUCUAAUACUAAAACAUGACUUGAUACAUCCGUAUCUAAACAAAUAUAAGACAAGUAUUUUGGGACAUAGGGAGUACAAA
rnacentral:pre_miRNA from 1 species